UUCAAAUAUAUACCUGAGGACAAUCUGGUGGAACAAAAAAGAAAUUUUAUAUUUAUUCGAGACAAAUAGAGAUUACCUGGUAAUGUAUAUGACAACCCCUUAUUUUCUGUAAAAUGUUAGCGCAAAUGACCAAUGUGGUGUGAAUUCCACUACUGCAGAUAUCUUGUUGAUGACACUCACUAUGAAAACAUGGAUUAUUAUCACACUAUGGUUCCUAUUGGCGCCUAUUGCUCGGAAGUAUGAGGUCGGACCUUUAUAUUUAAGUAACUCCUUAGUUUGCUUCUCUGGAAAAAUAAUUAUUAUUAGCAUUAUCGGACAGGGGAAUAAUACCUAAUACUGAGGUACAUGUAGCAUUGGGCCAGUUUGAACAUACAUACCAAUUUCUGUCUUGUCCAAGACAGGGGAAUAAAUACAUGUACUUUGCUUGCAAAAAUAGAGUUUGAACAUACAUACCAAUUUCUGUCUUGUCCAAGACAGGGGAAUAAAUACCUGUACUUUGCUUGGAAAAUAGAAACCGGGGUUUGCUACCUUACUUAAACUGGUUUCCUAUUCCAUGUAUAAACCUGUAAUUUUACGACUCAGCCACAGAACUCAAGUGCAUGUAAUCUUUCGGCAAAUUUUUAUGCCUGAUGUAUAGAUUCUCUGUGUAGCAACGUUGCCACAAUUUCCAUAGUACAAUUAGCAAGCCUCGCAAUGUUUUAUUUGGUGCUAGAUUUCUGAUUAUUGACAGAUAUUUUUGUAUACUGUAUGCCCAGAUACUUGCGACGGGUUUCUUGAUCAUACUUUUUAGUCUUGGAAGAAGACAACAAGGUGAUGUUAGGUAUCUUAUCUAGCUUUUUAGUAUGUGAUGUUGUUGUGUUGUUUAGGGUGAAAAGUUGGCUUUCAUAGUUCAGAACAAAUAAAUCCUAGGAACAUAAUGGUCUUCAAUGCCACUGGAAUAGUUUUAUUCUUACAAUAUUCAUAUUUGUUUGUACUCAGUGGUUUCAAUUGUUGGAAAAAGGGGGGAUGGAUAGGGAAGAACAAAGGAUGUCGUAUACUCUCUUUGGAUUUAAGGCUACCAAUUUUUUGUUAUUGAGUAGUGAUACUACAAAUAAUCCUGUUUAUUGCAUUAUAGUGUGUGUUCUUAUGUGGUGUCUCCUUAAUAUAAAAUGUAUGUCAUAUUAGUAUUGUGAUGAUCGUGAAUUCUAGAAGAGGACUUGUCACCUGUACCUUUGGAAUAUUUACAUGUCCAUCACUCAUUUUAUUAUGGGACAAUUCCAUUUCUGCCCCUAACUGGAACCCACUACUCAAAUUUGCCCCUAAUUUCAAUGUGUGCUCAAAUUUGCUCCUCUGCCGUUAGUUGUCCUUAUAGAAAUGCCCUUCUGCGUCGUUACCGUCUGGUCAAACAGCUUUGACCAUCUCGAAAAAAUAGCAAAAAAAGUCAAAAAGUCUGAAAUUUUAUGGGAUCGAAGGUACUCAGGUUCACAAGGUGCGUGCAAAUUUUCAUGUUGUUUGGACAUUCUAGGAGCUCGUGGCGAAGAAAAAACAGUAAAUAUGUACGUGUGUGAACCGUAAAUUCAAAAAAAUAGCAAAAAAAUUCAAAAAAUAUGAAUUCUUUUGGCAUCCAAGAUGCUUAGGUGUGGAAGGUGUGUGCAAUUUUUUUUGUGUUUGGACAUUGUAGGAGCUCGUGGAGAAAAGAAAACAAAAUUUGUCUAAGAAAAAAACUUGUAAAAAAUACACUAUUUUGGUUUUUUUUGCGAGAGCUCCUCGCAUGUCAUUUGAUAACAAAAUUUUGCACACGCCUUGUGCCCCCGAGCAUCUUGGAUGCCAAAAAAUUUCAUAUGUUUUUGAAUUUUCUUGCUAUUUUUUUGAAUUUACUAUUCAAAGAUGUACAGAUUUAUUGUUUUCCUUUGCCACGAGCUCCUGAUAUGUCUAAAUAGCAUGAAAAUUUGCACGCACCUUGCGCACAUGAGUAGCUUCAAUCCCACAAAAUUUCAGAUUUUUUUGAUUUUAUUAUUUUUUUUCAAGAUGGUCAAAGUUGUUUGACCGGACGGUAACGGCGCAGAAGGGCAUUUAUAUAAGGGCAACUAACGGCAGAGGGGCAAAUUUGAGCACACAUUGAAAUUAGGGACAAUUGCAUUUUUACCCCUAGUUGGUUCCUACCCACGGGUUUUGCCCUUACUUUUCGAGCUUGCUUAGUUUUGCCCUUACUUUUUCCAUCAAGGUCCCUCGAAUGCCCUUUGACCAUUUGACCAAAACUUUGAAAAUUCAUAACUGAUUCAUAUGAACUCCGAAAAAUGCAAAUAAGAUAUCAAAAUGUUCAUAUAAACAUUACCUUUAUGGGCAUAUCAUUUGCAUUCAAGUCAAAAGCAUCGUUUAAACUAGCCGAGGUAAUUAAUAUUAUUAACAUUAUUAAAAAUACAUAGGUAUAAACAAUAUUUUUUUUGUGAAUAAAAAUUAUAUGCAAAUGUAGGUGAUGUUUUCUUAACAUCCUGAUACCUUAUUUGCAUUUUCCUGAGUUCGUAUCAACUUGUUAUGAAGUUUCCAAAUAAUGGUCAAAGUCGUUAGAACAUUCAUAACAAGUUGAUACAAACUCAGAAAAAUGCAAAUAAGUUAUCAGGAUGUUCAGAAAACAUCACCUACAUUUGCAUGUAUUUUUUAUUCAUGAAAAAAGUAUUGUUUAUACCUAUUUAUUUUUAAUAAUGUUAAUAACAUUAAUUACCUCGAGUAGUUUAAGCGAUGUUUUUUUCCUGAAUGCAAAUGAUAUGCCCAUAAAGGUAAUGUUUAUCUGAAAAUUUUGAUAUCUUAUUCGCAUUUUUCUGAGUUCGUAUGAAUCAGUUAUGAAUUUUCAAAGUUUUGGUCAAACGGUCAAAGGGCAUUCGAGGGACCUCGAUGGAAAAAGUGAGGGCAAAACUGAGCAAGCUCGAAAAGUAAGGGCAAAACCCGUGGGUAGGAACCAACUAGGGUUAAAAAUGCAAUUGUCCCUUGAAAUUAGGGGCAAAUUUGAGUAGUGGGUUCCAGUUAGGGGCAGAAAUGUAAUUGUCCCUUUUAUUAUCUAUUAUAUUAGGGGGCACGCUAUAUAUCCUUUAGAUUUGUCGACCCACGAAAUAAGUAGCAUAACCAUCAUUCUAUCAGUGUAAAUAGUAUUGUGAGGUAGUUUAGUGGUCAACAAAGGGUUGUAUAAGGAUGAAAAACACACAUUUAAGACAGUGUUCUUAUUUUGUAUUCUUCCUUAGCAAGCACUUCUUUUUGAUCCUUCUCUGUUCUAUUUCUCCCCCUUGUCAUGAUAAUAUCUUGAGUCAUCUUUGCAAGAGCUGCUAACAAAAAGUUGAACAUCUUAACAGGCUCGUAUACCCAAAGUGGAAACUUGUUCCAGUAAACAAGUUCUCUAAGUUGAAUAUCUAUGCAGUUCUGAUUCUGAAUGAGCAUUUCUGAAUGUAUUAAUUAAUCACUUCUGAAUCCUUCACAAACACCACACUGUAACCCUUGAAGUCAUGUUAACGUUACUUCUUCAUACUGGAUUUAAACUUUUGGCUUUCAACUUCAAUAGAUAUUUAUUCUUCAUACAUGCCCAUCUCAUUUUACGUGUAUGGAGGCUAACCACUAUUUUUGUAAUUCUGAAUUGCAGGUCCAUACUUGUCCUCCGUAAAUGGUCAUUCCAUCAAAGUUAACAUUAUCGUGGUCAUCAUUGAGAAGCCAAACGGUAGCACCGAAAUAUAAAGUGAAGAGACCCACUUAUCCAGAACAAGGUAGAUCAUCAUGCUGUCAUACCAUACAUCAAAUGGUAUGCCGCAAAUACAAUCGCCAA
rnacentral:lncRNA from 1 species